UUACCACUUGAGGUUGAAAUACCGUCGCUCCGUGUGGCGAUACGUGAUGAGCUGACAGAAGAUGAACAAGUCAAAUUACGGUACCAGGAGUUAGACGCUAUUGAAGAGGGGCGCCUACGUGUACUUCAAAAUCUUGAGCUUUAUCGCAAGAAUAUGGUACGAGCCUACGAUAAACUCGUCAAGCCGCGAGUUUUUAGAAAAGGAGAACUGGUGCUGGUUCUUCGGCGUCCUAUUGUGCUCAUAGGAAAAGGUAAAGGAAAAUUUGAGCCCAAAUGGGAGGGGCCAUAUGUUAUUGAACAGGUUUAUGAUGGUGGCGCUUAUCAACUCAUUGAUCAAGAGGGUGUGCGUCCAAUGCCUCCUAUCAAUGGCAAGUUCCUCAAGAAGUAUUUUGCCUAG
rnacentral:rRNA from 1 species